UUUCUAUCCCGCAGUAACACCAUAAAUUGUUUCACGUUUUUUUCUUUUUUUUACAAAAACUGCGGGCUAUACAUCGGCUGACAUUUUUACUUGAAGCUCCACAAAAGGCUGUCAGGACUGAUCUCGUCGGGGUCACCUGUUGGAUGAGGCAUCCGUGUGCUGAUCGGUCAAGUUCAGAUUAUCGAGUGCACCUGUUCGUGCUUCACCAAGCCCCGCAGGGAGUCAAACACAAGGCCACACCACUGGCAUGACAACGCAGCCUUACUGCUGCUGCCACCACUGCAUGGACCAUGGCGAACCAACCAGCAUUAUUAUACAAGAAAAUGAAUGCACAGCUACCUGGCUAGUGUCCAGUCCGUUACAACAAUAUUUGUCACUGCCCAUGAGAAAGAUGACCACAAAUGUCUGUCGAUAAUCGCAACAAGACAACAGUAGAGCCACCCUACGGCUACAUGAUUGCUUUAGACUUUGCAUCAAGCAUGACGAGCUUGACAAGUCUGCAAAUACAGCUGGAAAGAUUGGAACAGAGCCAUUUUCCCAACAGCCCAGUCAGUUCUAUCGCUGAGAAACUGUCAAAAACCUUGACCUCAAGAAGCCAAACAAAACCGCAGGAAACUUGGAAACAUGACAAAUGCUUGGCGGUGAAGUCUGGAGUAGUGCAAAUAACGGUAAACAGUAGGC